CAUCCAGAUUCUGGCUGUUUUCCACCCAAAGGAAAGCGGGUCGGGGUGGUGCCACCAUGGCGUUCUCCCUGAUUGUGUCAUUGUGUUCCAGGUACACCUGGCCUGGCUUUUGCUGAAAAGUUCCUUGACCUAUGUGAAACCAGCGCUGUAGUGAAAUCAACAAGAUUUUCCUUGGUGUCACCAUGCCAGGCAGCUCCGGCAGAAGGAUCCUGGUCAGUUUCUGGGGAAAUUGACAGUUUCUUGUUUGGUGUUUUGGCUCCUGCUGUGAUUUCUCCAGCCACCUGGCCCUCGUGGAUUUAUCUUCUUCCCACCUAGAGAUCCGGCACGAAAACAAGAACUGACAGGCCGUUGAGACGGAGCGAGCUGCUGCGCUUUUCUGCAUGAUGCCUGGGAGUGAGAAGAUCAAAAAGGUUUUCCAAGUCAGUUUCACGGCUCAUCUUUACCCUGCAUCAAUGGGUAAAUGACUAGAGCCUUACCAAAGGCAACUUACAAGUGAGCGCUUUGAUUUAACAGAAACUCAUCAUCUAUUCCUGCUGUACAAUAUUCAUUUUGGGUGAGUGACCUCUAUGCUCUCCAUCAUUUCUGUGAUGAAUGCCUACCUGUGUUUCUUGUUUGGGGUGAUGAAGCAGCGAAGCCAUGUAUUUACCCUGCUGUCCCCUUUCUGAGGGAGGAUGUUUAUUCCUGCAGGACUGAGGCAGCUGAAGCACCUGGGAAAUUAUGUCAGCAAUUUCAGGUUUAUCCAGCCUCACUGCAGCCCAAAAUUUCACCAAAUCCAGGUUUACUUUGUAUUUUCCAACUGAAAUACAUAGGAGCAUCAGCAAGAUGCACUGGCAUCGAGGAUCCUGGGAAAGUUCAGUCAGAUGCUGCCUCCAUUUGCCUGAGUCUCAAGGGGCAGGGUGCAUUCCUUGGGUCACCUCAGAGGCAUACAAAGAAUGCAAAGACACAUUUUAAACUCUGAAAUGGAUGUAGGAAGCUGAAUUAUCACCAAAGGCCACAGCUUCACACUCCCUGCUUUCUAAGAACUUCUGCGUCAGUCAGAAAGGAGGAAGUGAAACCCAUUAAUUAGAUGAAUAAAGCAGAAUUAGUCCUGCCAGGAAACUGAGCUUCCCGCCUCCGCAGAAGCGCCCAGUGUCGGGUCCCUCCUGGAGCACCCACCAGUAAGUGGUCCUGGUAAGAAUUUGGGGCAGAACUCUACUUGUAAGGAUUUGGAGCCUGGUUGAAGCUUGUCAUCUGGGAUGCCUCGUGAACAGUGGAGAAAGGAGGUCUCUGCAGGAAGCACUCAUCCCGUUUAUCUCGGGUGCAUCAGGGUGGGAUAAAUCAUCUCCUGAUGGUGCCCAUCCUUCUCCAUAACUGGACAGCCUAUGUGGACUCUACAGACUAGAGAUCAAACAACUCCUCAGGGCAGCAGUAACUUACAGACCACAGCUUUUUUCUGACCAAGCCUAUCCCUGCUGACUGAAUGCUAGGAAUCACGACGGAGAAGAUUUCCUGGCUGUUAAAGCUUUAAGGCUAGACAAGGAAUAAAUACUUCCUUCCCCAUACAAUUUGAAGGUGUAUCAUCCAUCCAUCCAUCCCUCCCUCCCUCCAUUUCUCCUGCUGUGAGCUCUGUGGGAGUUACGCCGCAGCACGACGUGGAUGCAAGCUCAAAUUCUGACCUGUGAAGAGCACAUUCAUCUCAGACAACUUGGCUAGCUGAUCUCUGGACUGAUGGCCAGGAGGGAAGAUCAGUGGUGGAAUGCAGACCAAAAGCUGUCAAUUUCAAACAGAAUUUGUUUACACCAACACAGGCCGUGCACAGUGGGAACCUCCUUCAGUGAAGCAAAGCUGGAGGACAGUUCAGCAGCCCUGGGAGAAAUGCAUCCCUGGGACACAGAUCCAUGAAGCGGUGCUCAAAAAAGUUUCUGCUGUGCAAGGUAUUAUGGUUUAACUCUGGAAACAUCCUGGUCCCCUACGCCGUGGGGUGUGCGGGCGGUGACGCUGAUGAUUCAUGGAGUGGGCAUCACCUCAUCUGCAGCCGUGGACCAGCUGAGAAACCAGCCCAUAUUCUGCUGGCAGCCAGGACUGGCUGAGCUCCCCCCCCAAAAAAAGGCACAUCUGAUUUCUGCUGAGGCUGGUUACGUGCAAUUUGAAUGCUGGAAAGGCUAAAAUAAAACUCAUCGGCUGUUAAACAUAAGCAGAAGAAGAUAAAUAGAAGCAGCAAGCAUCAGUGGCCACAUGAGUUAUUUUAUCUGUCUUCUGAGAUCCUGUCAUCGCAUUGAAGUUUUAAGACAAUCCUAAUAGGAAUCAUAUUUAGGAUUUAUAGCAAGUAAGUCUGUGAAGGUUCACACUCCUUUGCCUGCCUUGAGGUGGCAUUACAAAACGCAAUAAGCAGGAUAUGUCGUCUUCCUUCCCUGGUUCAGAUUCCUUCACCUUUCCUGCCACUCACAGCGCUUUCAAACAUCAUUAAUCAUGUCAUGAUAAAAGUUCAGUCUGCAUAUGUCUUAUUAUGCUCACAGUUGCUUCGGUUAGCUUGUAACAGUUAGCUCCUCACAGGUCAAACGAUAAAAGGAGAUGAAAGAGCAGGCAUUAAGGAUGCCUCUUCUGAAAGGGUUCUCCUAUCUCCUCAUGUCCUGCCGUCGCAUAUUUCUACCUGGGAGAACAGGAGAUAAUUAUAAUCCCAGAAUGGGAAAACAACCAUCUUCCUCCUAACUGCCACCCUGGGGAGCAUUUAAGCACUAUUUAACCACAGGUUAAGCGUUGCUGGCUUUACAGUAAAGUUUAAGUAUGACUUGCUUUGAAUAAG